GCCGGGAUGGCAGAGCGGACUAACGCGGCAGGCUCGAGACCUGUUGUCUCAUUCGAGACACUUGGGUUCAAAUCCCAAUCCCGGCG
rnacentral:ncRNA from 15 species